CAACAGCUCUGCUAAACCUUCGCCGCAAUAAACCACCCAAAAGUCGUAAAAAACCGUCGCCAUGCCUGCUCUUACGCGUAACAAGAAGAAGGGAGCUAAGUCGCAGACUCCUCCACUGAUUAAGCGGACUAAAUCGAAUCCCACGCCUCCACCGAAGAAGGCGGCGAAGUCCCAUAAGCCUCCGUUGAAGAAACAGAGGAAAGGUGUUUCCGAUGAGAAGCCUGAAGUUUCUAAUGAUGAGGAAGAAGAAGAAGAAGAAGUGAGUGAACAGUCUGAUGAAGGAGAUGAAUUGGGUUCUGACUUUUUCUCAGAUGGUGAUGAGGAGGAGGAUACAGAACCUUUGGGCGACGACUUUCUCGAUGGUAACGAUGAUGAGGAGAGAACUUUGGGUUCUGAUUCUGACUCUGAUCUCGAGAAGGAAAGUAAAGCUAUUGACGAAGAACGUGAAAGGCAGGAGCGAGAUGCGAAAGAUGAGUUGCAGAUGAACAUUAAGGAGCAACCUGAUGAGUUUCGCCUACCUACCAAAAAGGAACUUGAAGAAGAGGCAAGUGGGCCACCAGAUCUUCCUGCCUUGCAAACGAGGAUCAAAGAGAUUGUUAGAGUGCUGUCGAAUUUUAAGGAUUUGAGGCCAGAAGGAGUCAAGAGGAAGGAGUUUGUUGAACAGCUUAAGGCUGAUCUUGCUUCUUACUACGGCUAUAAUGAGUUUCUCAUUGGAACUCUUGUUGAGAUGUUUCCUCCUGUUGAACUCAUGGAACUAAUCGAAGCUUUUGAAAAGCAAAGGCCUACUUCUAUACGUACCAACACUCUUAAGACUCGGAGACGGGAUCUGGCUGAUGUACUUUUGAACAGAGGAGUUAAUCUAGACCCAUUAAGCAAGUGGUCAAAAGUUGGACUUGUCGUUUAUGAUUCACAAGUUCCAAUUGGUGCAACUCCUGAAUAUUUGGCUGGUUUCUAUAUGUUGCAAAGUGCUAGUUCCUUCUUGCCAGUGAUGGCUCUUGCUCCUCGAGAGAACGAGCGCGUUGUGGACAUGGCUGCUGCCCCUGGUGGUAAAACAACUUAUGUUGCUUCCCUAAUGAAGAAUACUGGCAUAAUAUAUGCAAACGAGAUGAAAGUACCUAGGCUUAAGUCACUCACUGCCAAUCUGCAUCGCAUGGGGGUGACAAAUACCAUAGUUUGUAACUAUGAUGGAAGAGAGCUACCCAAGGUUUUUGGUCCGAACUCGGUAGAUAGAGUAUUGUUGGAUGCUCCUUGCAGUGGAACUGGAGUUAUAUCAAAAGAUGAAUCAGUUAAAACUUCCAAAAGUGCCAAUGACAUAAGGAAAUUUGCUGAUUUGCAAAAGCAACUUAUACUUGCUGCUAUUGAUUUGGUGGACGCCGAAUCCAAAACCGGUGGAUAUAUUGUUUACUCAACAUGCUCCAUUAUGAUUCCCGAGAACGAAGCUGUGAUCGAUUAUGCCUUAAAAAAGAGGGAUGUCAAACUCGUUCCAUGUGGACUUGAUUUUGGGCAAGCAGGAUUUAGUAGAUUUAGAGAACACCGGUUCCACCCUACUUUGGAGAAAACUAGACGCUUCUAUCCCCACGUCCACAACAUGGACGGAUUCUUUGUGGCAAAGCUGAAGAAGAUGAGCAAUGAAACGAAGGCUUCAGAAGGUGAUGAGCCGGUUGAAACAAAAGAGCAAGCUCAGUUGUCUAGUGAUGAAGAUGACGAUGAUGAGUCCAUUAAGGAGUUGAAGAAACCUUCUGGAGCCAAUGUAGACAUGAACAAACAAAGAAUUUCAAUCUCAAAGGCGAACAACAAAGGCAAAAAGAACAAAAACUUCAAAACCGAAAAUGCUAAUGUGGAAGGACCCAGGAAGCAAAAGAAGAAGAGAUCACAAUGGAAGGCUGAAAUUGCACAAGCUAGGGAAGAUAAAAGAAAAGUCAUGAGAGAGAAUACUAAGGAGCCUGGGAGAAGAUAGGUUCUUGAUGCAUAUCGGAGAACAAUCAAUUGGUGUUCUGGUCAUGGCCAAGGAAACAAGAAAGGAGGUUUUGUUGGCUGAGGCUAAGAUAAAGUUUGGUCGAUUGGGGUCCAUUACACAACAUAAAAGGAUAGAAUGAGGGAAUCAAUCUGAUGAAAUUGAAACAGAGGGAAUUGGAGUGAGCUGUUCAUUGUUAGGGGGAGAUGUGAAGGUUUUCUAAAGCGGGACUUGUGAAACAUGACAAUCCAUUCAGUUCUUGAUCCAUCUUUUGUCAGAUUCUCUUUGGGGACGGACCUUUAUCAUUAACUUCUCUUAACGAAUCUUCUUGUUA